AGCAGCCGCGGUAAUUCCAGCUCCAAUAGCGUAUAUUAAAGUUGUUGCAGUUAAAAAGCUCGUAGUUGAAUUUCGGGGUUAGUAGGUUGGUCGUGCCUUUGGUAUGUACUGGUCUCACUGAUUCCUCCUUCUUGAAGAACUGUAAUGUCAUUAAUUUGGUGUUGCAGGGAAACAGGACUGUUACUUUAGAAAAAUUAGAGUGUUUAAAGCAGGCUAACGCCUGAAUACAUUAGCAUGGAAUAAUGAAAUAGGACGUUUGAUCCUAUUUGUUGGUUUCUAGGAUUGACGUAAUGAUUAAUA
rnacentral:rRNA from 1 species